UACGUAGGGGGCAAGCGUUGUCCGGAAUCAUUGGGCGUAAAGCGCGCGUAGGCGGCUCUUCAAGUCAGGCGUGAAAGCCCCGAGCUUAACUCGGGAACUGCGCUUGAUACUGUCGAGCUAGAGUGUGGAAGGGGCGAUUGGAAUUCUCGGUGUAGCGGUGAAAUGCGUAGAUAUCGAGAGGAACACCUGCGGCGAAGGCGGGUUGCUGGGCCGACACUGACGCUGAUGCGCGAAAGCCAGGGGAGCGAACGGG
rnacentral:rRNA from 1 species